rnacentral:tRNA from 1 species
CCCCAGGUGGUGCAAACUGUCAGCGUGCUUGGUUGCUAACCAAGAAAAGUUGGUGGUCUGAGACCACCCAGAGGUGGUUCAAAUCCACCCAGAGGC